rnacentral:rRNA from 2 species
GGAUGUUAGCGGCGGACGGGUGAGUAACACGUGGGUAACCUGCCUGUAAGACUGGGAUAACUCCGGGAAACCGGAGCUAAUACCGGAUAGUUCCUUGAACCGCAUGGUUCAAGGAUGAAAGACGGUUUCGGCUGUCACUUACAGAUGGACCCGCGGCGCAUUAGCUAGUUGGUGGGGUAAUGGCUCACCAAGGCGACGAUGCGUAGCCGACCUGAGAGGGUGAUCGGCCACACUGGGACUGAGACACGGCCCAGACUCCUACGGGAGGCAGCAGUAGGGAAUCUUCCGCAAUGGACGAAAGUCUGACGGAGCAACGCCGCGUGAGUGAUGAAGGUUUUCGGAUCGUAAAGCUCUGUUGUUAGGGAAGAACAAGUGCGAGAGUAACUGCUCGCACCUUGACGGUACCUAACCAGAAAGCCACGGCUAACUACGUGCCAGCAGCCGCGGUAAUACGUAGGUGGCAAGCGUUGUCCGGAAUUAUUGGGCGUAAAGGGCUCGCAGGCGGUUUCUUAAGUCUGAUGUGAAAGCCCCCGGCUCAACCGGGGAGGGUCAUUGGAAACUGGGAAACUUGAGUGCAGAAGAGGAGAGUGGAAUUCCACGUGUAGCGGUGAAAUGCGUAGAGAUGUGGAGGAACACCAGUGGCGAAGGCGACUCUCUGGUCUGUAACUGACGCUGAGGAGCGAAAGCGUGGGGAGCGAACAGGAUUAGAUACCCUGGUAGUCCACGCCGUAACGAUGAGUGCUAAGUGUUAGGGGGUUUCCGCCCCUUAGUGCUGCAGCUAACGCAUUAAGCACUCCGCC